UUUAUGGAUACAAAUCUGAAUUAGUUCUGAAGAGUUCCAUAUUGAGAGAGUUUAAAACUAUUUUUCUCCUGAAACUUAUUUUAUUGUAUAACAACUCACUUUGUGCAGACAUCCUUCCUCAGAGCUAAUCUAAACCCUCUGUACUGCAUUUUAUUCUUUUCCCUUUGUUCUGGCUCAGCAAUCAGAAGAACAGAUGGCCAUCUUCUGUCAGUACUUGAAGACUGUUUCUUAGAAACAUUAAGCCUCCAUCAGGCUCACUUGUUAAUGCAAAAGUCCUACUCAGGACAGAAGCUAGGACAAACUUUGAAGUCAUCAGGUGUACUUCCCACUAUGUGAUGCCUUUCGCCAUGGAUUACCUUUGCCAGAUGUGAGUACCAUUCUCUUGGACUUUCCAGCUUCCAGAAUCAUGAUCCAAAUAAACUUCUGUGCUUUAAAAAUUACCA
rnacentral:lncRNA from 13 species